AUGCACGCUGGCGGCGUGCCUAAUACAUGCAAGUCGAGCGAACAGACGAGGAGCUUGCUCCUCUGACGUUAGCGGCGGACGGGUGAGUAACACGUGGAUAACCUACCUAUAAGACUGGGAUAACUUCGGGAAACCGGAGCUAAUACCGGAUAAUAUAUUGAACCGCAUGGUUCAAUAGUGAAAGACGGUUUUGCUGUCACUUAUAGAUGGAUCCGCGCCGCAUUAGCUAGUUGGUAAGGUAACGGCUUACCAAGGCAACGAUGCGUAGCCUACCUGAGAGGGUGAUCGGCCACACUGGAACUGAGACACGGUCCAGACUCCUACGGGAGGCAGCAGUAGGGAAUCUUCCGCAAUGGGCGAAAGCCUGACGGAGCAACGCCGCGUGAGUGAUGAAGGUCUUCGGAUCGUAAAACUCUGUUAUUAGGGAAGAACAAAUGUGUAAGUAACUAUGCACGUCUUGACGGUACCUAAUCAGAAAGCCACGGCUAACUACGUG
rnacentral:rRNA from 1 species